UACAAUAAAACCAGUCAGAUUUAAAAAAUCAUUUAAAAAAUUAGUGUCCUAUUUCCUGGAGCCGAAAAAA
ensembl:ncRNA K02A6.5 ncRNA